rnacentral:RNase_P_RNA from 2 species
ACAGUAAGCCGGUUUGUCGCUACGCAAUUUGCGCAGAGGAAAGUCCGGGCAACACAGAGCACCAUACUUCCUAACGGGAAGCUGUUUGCGAAAGCAGCGUAGCGUAACAGAAAAUAACCGUCCCAACUUGUUGAGAUAAGGGUGAAAAGGUGAGGUAAGAGCUUACCGGUAUUGUUGGCAACAACAGUAGCCGUACGCCGUAUGGGUUGCAAGAUCAUGUAUACCAGCGCAUGUAGGAUGGCUCGUCCGAUGCUGGGGGGUAGAUUGCUACAGAUGUAAGGUAACUUGCAUCGCAGAUAAAUGACAAACGCUUUGUGUAAACAAAGUACAAAACCCGGCUUAUAGGCUUACUGUUUUU